GCUUCGGUGGCUUAAAGGUUAAAGCGCUGCUCUGAAGAAGCAGAUAUGGGAGUUCAAUUCUCUCCCGAGGCA
rnacentral:tRNA from 1 species